AUACGUAGGGGGCGAGCGUUGUCCGGAAUGACUGGGCGUAAAGGGCGUGUAGGCGGUUGUCUAAGUCUGGAGUGAAAGUCCUGCUUUCAAGGUGGGAAUAGCUUUGGAUACUGGAUGACUUGAGUGCGGAAGAGGUAAGUGGAAUUCCCAGUGUAGCGGUGAAAUGCGUAGAGAUUGGGAGGAACACCAGUGGCGAAGGCGACUUACUGGGCCGUAACUGACGCUGAGGCGCGAAAGCGUGGGGAGCGAACAGGAUUAGAUACCCUGGUAGUCCACGCGGUAAACGAUGAAUGCUAGGUGUUGCGGGUAUCGACCCCUGCAGUGCCGGAGUAAACACAAUAAGCAUUCCGCCUGGGGAGUACGGCCGCAAGGUUGAAACUCAAAGGAAUUGACGGGG
rnacentral:rRNA from 1 species